rnacentral:lncRNA from 1 species
UUCAUCUAGGUGGUACACAUGACAGUGGGUUAUAGGUCUAGCCACAUCUUUUGGCUGUUGAGGGUAGUCUUUUAUGAGAUGUUGGGUGCUUCUGCACUGAUAGCAGGCGUGAUUGAUACGUCAACAUAGUAGAUCACAAUGCAAGCGACCACAAUGUUGAAAUGGUUGGGAAGGUCAGGCAAGUUAUCUAGUUGGUGAAGGUAGGGUAGGGGGUAGGACAACUCGGGUUCGUUUAUCGGGUUGGCUACUUACUGGGUCGGACAAUCUUCUUCGGGGUUGUUGUUGUUGGGUACGAACUCAGACAAUGCAUUGGUGCCUGGCUGAGAUGUGGUCUUUGGCCAACUAUGCAUGUUCUAGUAUCUCUAUAUACAAACUAGGUCUUAGGAUCGCAACCCGAUUAUAGAUAUCGGCACGAAGGCCUUUUAGAA